UUUACACUUUUGUAUUAUUAUUUAUACAAUAUUAGACUCUUUAUAUUAGGUAUGUGCAAAAGUUUUAGCUUUCUUUAGCAAUCUAAUAUAAUUCUAAUAUAAUUAUUUAAACUUUAAGUAAAUUCACACUUUUGUGUGUUUUGAAGAAAUAAUUUUGAAGUUUGUAUAAGGUAUUGUUUGUUUUAAUUUAUUAAUAAAUAUAAAACAUUACUGAAUACGAUAAUCUAUGAAAAGUUAUAUAUUUAACACUACAAGCAGUAUGGAUUUUUCAACAAAAAAGAAGUGUUAAAAAGUACAAUUUAAUUUACUGUAUUUUUAGUAAACUUGUUGUAUGUUACAAUGUUGCGUAAAUAUUGAUUUCGAUUGUUUAGAGUCAGUGAUUUUGAUAUAAGUGACCCAAUAUGCUCUGAAAUAUUGUAAAAAUUAGAGAUUGAUGAUUAUUGUAAGGAUUGUUGAUCGAAAAUUUAUCAUGGACAUAAGAAAAACUCGCAGUAGUUGAAAAACAAUUACUGAUUGUGAAUAAUUUGACUCACAAAAUAGAAUGGAAAAGACGAUUUAUUAGACAAAGAAGUUGGAAUAUUAUUUUACUACAUGACAACAGCAUGGCAAAGCCGCAUGUUGUUUUUUAUACUUGGCAAAAUUAUUUUUUACUUUGAGCUGGGAAAUUCUCCCAGCUUAUAUAGUGUAUUCACCCAACUUGGCGCCUUCGAAUUACUACUUAUUUUGAUCGAUGCAAUAUUCUUUAAUACUUUCAAGUGGCUAACGAGGAGAAGACUCCGACUGUGAAAUGAAAUUUUUAAUGAGACAUAGUGCGUUUAAAAGAGAGUAUGGGGUAUUGAAAAACUGUAAAUUGAUUAGCGUAAAUGGGUCUUGGUUCCUGAGAAAUUUGCAUCGAAAGUUGGGCAUUCGGCUGAUUGUACGGCAUUACCGACGGUGCACGGCCCGGCCGAACACCCGCCGGGCACCGGCCCGUCCUAAUCUUUUUUACAACGUUGAGACGAAAAUCGCUAUCUUCUAGUUAAAUCCGGUAGCUGAGGAUAGAGCGUCUCUGCCUCCGCCGAGAGUUCUCGGCUAUGGAUCAUCCUCUCACUUAAUUACUCGGCUCGAAAUUACAAGGUGGAGUGUUCUCCGUCUCCCGAGAAUUCUCGGGAUCGACGCCGUCAUUCCAAGAAUCUUUCGGAUUCGACAGGAAGCGCGACGAAAACAGAUCCGCCUCACGUACUGCGCACCGCCGAACUCAAGCACCAGCAAUUACCGCCCGCCGCGCCGCGCACUUACCGCGCCAUGAAACGCGAGCAUCUCGCCGCAGGGCAUUGCCCGCCGGCCCGUCACUGUACACCGCGACCGUCACCAAACAACACACGAGAUCGUCGAACAGCUGAUUCGAGCGAGAAUCACGUUUCCUUUGUAAAUAUACUGUAAAUACUGUACAUACGUUUUUAAUUUUCUCAAAUAUAUUAUAAUUUCUCGUA